rnacentral:lncRNA from 1 species
AAACUACAACCCAAUUAGAAGGGACCAUACAUAGUACAAAAGAAGUUAUCCCUAAGAGCUUAUAGGCCAGAGAAUCUAGAAGGGAACGAGGUUCUAAGGAUGUGGAAUGCAGUGAAUUUGAGGCACUACUUUAGUUAAAGGAAAAUUCAUGUGUCAAAAAUAACUUUUAACAAUGUACUUUGAAAUUGUGAAUAAGUAGCAUCCUGUGGUACCACUUUUUCCCUUGCAAGGGAGGGGUUUU